CCUACGGGAGGCAGCAGUAGGGAAUAUUGGACAAUGGGUGCGAGCCUGAUCCAGCCAUGCCGCGUGCAGGAAGAAGGCCUUCUGGGUUGUAAACUGCUUUUGCCGGGGGAUAAAAGACCCAUGCGUGGGGAAUUGAAGGUACCCGGUGAAUAAGCCACGGCUAACUACGUGCCAGCAGCCGCGGUAAUACGUAGGUGGCGAGCGUUGUCCGGAUUUAUUGGGUUUAAAGGGUGCGUAGGCGGCCCCGUAAGUCAGUGGUGAAAUACGGCAGCUCAACUGUCGAGGUGCCAUUGAUACUGCGGGGCUUGAGUACAGUCGAGGUAGGCGGAAUUGACGGUGUAGCGGUGAAAUGCUUAGAUAUCGUCAAGAACACCGAUAGCGAAGGCAGCUUGCUAGGCUGUAACUGACGCUGAGGCACGAAAGUGCGGGGAUCAAACAGGAUUAGAUACCCUGGUAGUCCGCACAGUAAACGAUGGUCACUCGGUGUUGGCGGUACACGGCCAGCGCCUUAGCGAAAGCGUUAAGUGACCCACCUGGGGAGUACGCCCGCAAGGGUGAAACUCAAAUGAAAUUGACGGCUGAGACGNGCGACGGACGACGACGAGGGAGGAGG
rnacentral:rRNA from 1 species